rnacentral:rRNA from 1 species
GACGAACGCUGGCGGCGUGCUUAACACAUGCGAGUCGAACGGAAAGGCCUGCUUUCCCUUGUGGAUUGCGGGUACUCGAGUGGCGAACGGGUGAGUAACACGUGAGUGAUCUGCCCCCAACUUGGGUAUAAGCCUGGGAAACUGGGUCUAAUUCCCGAUAGGACUGCAGGGUGGUGCCUGUGGUGGAAAACGAUUUUCUAGUGGUUGGGGAUGAGCUCGCGGCCUAUCAGCUUGUUGGUGGGGUAAUGGCCUACCAAGGCGGCGACGGGUAGCCGGCCUGAGAGGGUGGACGGCCACAUUGGGACUGAGAUACGGCCCAGACUCCUACGGGAGGCAGCAGUGGGGAAUAUUGCACAAUGGGCGGAAGCCUGAUGCAGCGACGCCGCGUGGGGGAUGACGGCCUUCGGGUUGUAAACUCCUUUCGACCGCGAGGAAGCCACCUGGUUGGAAGGGUGGUGACGGUAGUGGUAGAAGAAGCACCGGCUAACUACGCG